rnacentral:rRNA from 1 species
CCUACGGGAGGCAGCAGUGGGGAAUAUUGGGCAAUGGGCGCAAGCCGGACCCAGCAACGCCGCGUGAAGGAAGAAGGCCCUCGGGUUGGAAACUUCUAUUAGCAGGGACGAAAAAAAGGACGGUACCGGAUGAAUAAGCAACGGCUAACGACGUGCCAGCAGCCGCGGGAAUACGUAGGUGGCAAGCGUUAUCCGGAUUUACUGGGUGUAAAGGGCGUGUAGGCGGAAGGCCAAGUCAGCGGUAAAAUCGCGGGGCUCAACCUCGCUCCGCCGUUGCAACUGGCGUUCUUGAGUGGGCGAGACGUAUGCGGAAUGCGUGGUGUCGCGGUGACAUGCCUAGAUAUCACGCAGCACUCCGAUUGCGACGGCAGCAUACCGGCGCCCAACUGACGCUGCCGCACGAACGCGUGGGUAUCGAACAGGAUUAGAUACCCCAGUAGUC